UACGUAGGCAGCGAGCGUUGUUCGGAGUUACUGGGCGUAAAGGGUGUGUAGGCGGUUGUUUAAGUUUGGUGUGAAAGCCCCCGGCUCAACUGGGGAGGGUCACGCGAUACUGAUCGACUCGAAGGCAGGAGAGGGUAGUGGAAUUCCCGGUGUAGUGGUGAAAUGCGUAGAUAUCGGGAGGAACACCAGUGGCGAAGGCGACUACCUGGCCUGUUCUUGACGCUGAGGCGCGAAAGUUAGGGGAGCAAACGGG
rnacentral:rRNA from 1 species